AUUGAACGCUGGCGGCAGGCCUAACACAUGCAAGUCGAGCGGAUGGAGGGAGCUUGCUCCUGGAUUCAGCGGCGAACGGGUGAGUAAUGCCUAGGAAUCUGCCUGGUAGUGGGGGAUAACGUCCGGAAACGGGCGCUAAUACCGCAUACGUCCUGAGGGAGAAAGUGGGGGAUCUUCGGACCUCACGCUAUCAGAUGAGCCUAGGUCGGAUUAGCUAGUUGGUGGGGUAAAGGCCUACCAAGGCGACGAUCCGUAACUGGUCUGAGAGGAUGAUCAGUCACACUGGAACUGAGACACGGUCCAGACUCCUACGGGAGGCAGCAGUGGGGAAUAUUGGACAAUGGGCGAAAGCCUGAUCCAGCCAUGCCGCGUGUGUGAAGAAGGUCUUCGGAUUGUAAAGCACUUUAAGUUGGGAGGAAGGGCAGUAAGUUAAUACCUUGCUGUUUUGACGUUACCAACAGAAUAAGCACCGGCUAACUUCGUG
rnacentral:rRNA from 1 species